GCGGGAGAAACUAUUUUGCCGGUGAGAAAUUCGAGCAGCUUAUUUAUUUGAAACAUCUUGGAGUGGAGAAAACUUUCAUUGAUGAUGUGAUGCCAGGUGACAAUACUGACAAAGACUGCUGCAUCCUUCAUUCUGACAUCCUUGAACCAGCUCCAAUGUUGUGUGGACUUAGUCUACUUAGGGGCGGAGCGGUGGCU